rnacentral:rRNA from 1 species
AAUUUAUUUAUUAAUUUUUUAAGUUUUAAUUUUAACGUAUUAAAAAUAAUUAUAAAAAGAGUUGUUUUAGUAUUUUAUAUAGAAAAAAUAAUUUAAAUUAUAGAUAAAUAGUAUCGUGAGAGAAUAUUGAAAAAAUUGAAAAAUUUUUAAACAAAAAGAAAAUUUAAUUUAUUGUACCUUGUGUAUCAGGGUUGAUCAAUUUAAAAAUAAAAAUUUAUUUUUCUCGAUUUUAAAAGAGUUAAUAGAUUAUUAAAGUUAUUGUGUUAAAAUUAUUUUUAAUAAUUUAUUAGAAAUGAAAUGUUAUUCGUUUUUAAUGGUAUCUAGUUUUUUUAGAAAUAAAUUUAAUUUAAAAAUUUUAAAUAUAUAAAAUUAAAUUAUAAAUUUUAUAUUUUAAAAUUUAAAUAUUUUACGGGAUAAGCUGUAAAAUAAAUUUUUAAAAAUAAAAAAUAAAUUCAAAAAAUAUAUGCUUAGAAGUAGCAAUUAUUUAUAAAUUUGUUAUAAAUUAUUUUGUUAAAUAAAUUAUUUUUUAAAUUUUAAGUUUUUAUAAAAAAAUAAUUUUUAAUUAUUAAAAAUUAAAUAUAAUGAUUAAAUUAGUAUAUAGUGUAUGUAUUAAUAAAUACGAAUGAAAAGUUUUUUUAAAGAAUUCGGCAAAAUUAAUGUUCGCCUGUUUAACAAAAACAUGUCUUUUUGAAUUUAAAUAUAAAGUCUGACCUGCCCACUGAUUUAUUAAAUGGCCGCAGUAUAUUAACUGUGCAAAGGUAGCAUAAUCAUUAGUCUUUUAAUUGAAGGCUGGAAUGAAUGGUUGGACGAAAUAUUAACUGUUUCAAUAAAAUUUAUUAUAGAAUUUUAUUUUUUAGUAAAAAAGCUAAAAUUUUUUUAAAAGACGAGAAGACCCUAUAAAUCUUAAUAAUUUAUUUAUUAUAAUAACAAAGAAUAUUUUUUUUAUAUUAAAUUAAAUUAUUUUAUUGGGGUGAUAUUAAAAUUUACAAAACUUUUAAUUUUUUAAGUCAUUAAUUUAUGAAUAAUUGAUCCAAUUUUAUUGAUUAAAAAUUUAAGUUACUUUAGGGAUAACAGCGUAAUUUUUUUGGAGAGUUCAUAUCGAUAAAAAAGAUUGCGACCUCGAUGUUGGAUUAAGAGAUAGAUUUGGGUGUAGCCGUUCAAAUAAUUAAGUCUGUUCGACUUUUAAAUUCUUACAUGAUCUGAGUUCAAACCGGCGUAAGCCAGGUUGGUUUCUAUCUUUAAUUUAUUAAAAUAUUUUAGUACAAAAGGACCAAAUAUUUAAAUUAUAAAAUUUUACAAUAUGAAUUUAAUUAA